GCCAUCUCCACGGUGAUAGUUGCCGAGCGAUGGCGGUGAAAACAUCCUCUCUCUGAUGCCAAAGUGUCUUGACCCCUAGAUACAGUAGCAUGCUGGUGCACAUGCACAGAUGUGAACUGUGUACUGAGACGAUGAGCAUCUGUAACACAAAGGAGAGAAGUCAACAAAGACUCCCACUCAGAUUUCGGAGAGCAUAAUGACCAGCUGCAGCUCCAUCUGGUAUGAGCCCAAACCACCUGAAUGAAGAGAUUCAUCCAAACUGAAGACUGUUCAGCACCCUCAG